rfam:Pachysolen tannophilus NRRL Y-2460 unplaced genomic scaffold PACTA_scaffold_7, whole genome shotgun sequence.
GGAGGGUUGGCCGAGUGGUCUAAGGCGGUAGACUUAAGAUCUACUGGACAGACGUCCGCGCGAGUUCGAACCUCGCAUCCUUCA